CAACAUAGAUGGAUCUUGAGGACAUUAUGCUAAGUGAAAUAAGUCGCACCGAGAAAGACAGGUCAUGGGAUAAGUUCCUUGUUGAAGUUGCACUGAAAAGAAAAGGACUUCAUUGAGCCAGUAGCAGUGACUCCGUUAGUGAUCGUGAAAGUCGUCCUGCACAAUAACCCUCCUCUCUUGUCUGCCUCACGCCAGCUGUGAAGGUUUUCAAAGAUUUUUUUAUUAUGAGCACGGGGUACUUUGUGAUGGGGCACAACACCAAAGUUAUUACCACGUUGAAGCAAAACACCCGUUAGCAGCAACGGAAAAAGAUCUUUCCACGAUUAAGUGCUGGAGCUCCAGGACCGCACUGGAGACCACUGAAUCCAGCCCCCACCUCACUUCGGAAGAAAUGAACGUUAGAAUUAACAUCAGCUGUGAUGACCAACUGUUUUGGAAAACAGGCCAGAUGGUGUGCAUCUCCCCUCGCUGGUGUGCUUUGAGAGGGUAUUAUUGGAUUUCUUAGAGCAGCAAUUACAGAACAUCUUUGGAGCUAGGUCAUUGCAGUUACCUUCUAGCAAAGAUGCAAGGUAUUUAAAAAACUUCUCACCAUCCCAUUUGUCUUUGUCAUACAGAAUGCAUUUGUCCAAAGGAUUUCUUGUUUAUAUCCUUGAUGUGUUUUUUUCUUAGACAGGAUGCAUUGAAUUUUGCAACCACAUCCUUCCUCAUUUGAGUAGCUGAUCAUGCGGGGAACAGAGCCUGAUUAAUCUGCAAUUUGCACAGGUGAAUCUCGUGAUUACAUAUGUCCGCAGGCAGUUGGGCUCCGUGGUCAAUGGCACAACGAGGAUAGAUAGCAAACGAAAAUCGCCUCGCAAGGCAAAUAGCAUUGCCAGAGUUUUCUAAGAAACCAGUGUACUGAUGGUGCACCACAUGUCCAGACUUUUAAUUGGCCAAACCUGAGUAAUCUCUUUAUUUUUAUAGCCAAAAGGAGAAGUCCACGGCAAGGACCUCAUUCCCACACCUAUUACCUUGUGUUUUUAUUGUAAAGUUAGAAACAAAACCCAAGCCAACGUAGGUUAGUAAUCCUCCCUCAACGUUUCAUCUUCCACCCACCAAUUAUUCUUAUUGUGGGUUUUCCCUGCCACACGUGUUCUGAAUCUUGGAGGCCCCGAGAUGCUAAGUUAGACACAGUUUUUGACUGGCAGCAGUUCAACAGGUAUGUUUCAAACACCUAGUAGAGUGGUCUUCGGUCGUUCGAGUUCAGGGCUUCGUAAAUCCUGGAAUUCAGUGUGGCAUAUGUGAAAAGGACUAAGAGUUAAAUUCCAGUUCAUCCUUAAAGUUUCAGGACAUUUUGUAAAUGUGCAGGUAUCACGACACAGUGGACUCACAUCUUAAUCGGGGGUCCUGUUUUGAAGUCUGUGCUAAGGUGGAAAUCAUUUGUUCCACUUUAUUUAUUUUUUAAUCUUUUUUAAAAAAAGUUUAUUUUGAGAGAGAGAGAGAGAGAGAGCUCGAGUGGGGA